rnacentral:lncRNA from 1 species
AAAGAGCUCUACGUUUGCCGAAGAUCCUUACGUCUCCAAUAAGAGCGACAGUGGCGUCAAGCAAGAGAAAUAUCUCUCCAUAUGAAAUUCCCAGCAUCUCUUUUUUCACUUUGUUUCUGUCGUAUGUUUGAAGAGCAACGCGGUAGGAGAUCGUAAAUAAAUUACCCGGCCGUAUCGAAAAUUUGGUCGGAGAAUUUGUCAGGGAGUACCCUGCCGGUCCAUGUUAGAAGGGAAAUGAGCCAUGACUUCCUGUUGUUGUUGUUUCUGCUUCUGACAUGAUGCAAUAGGAGUAGCUUAAAAUUAGGGUUUUCUCUUGAACAAAGACGAUAUAUUUUGGGGCUGAGCAACUAGAUUUUCUAUUAAUAUAUUUCCAUAUUUUUUCAACGUAUCACGCUGUAUUUUUAUGUAUUUCAUUGUAUUCGUUGUCUGUUUUUUUAUUGUAAUUCAAUGUAUCUUUUUUUAUUUCAUGUAUUUUAUUGUAUUCACUAUUUUUUCUCUCAUUGUGUUUCAACGUAUCCCGCUAUAUUCUAUGUAUUUCAUUGUAUUCACUUCCUCGCUAUAUGCCAUGAAUAUAUUCAUAUAUUUUUUUAAUUACUAUAAUUUAAGUAUUCAGAUGUAUUAUAUAUUUUCUCUAAAGAUUGCUAUGUUUUUGGGAUAUUUUUCGGUUUAGAAUCUUUUUUUAUAACUGAAAAUAUAAAAUUUGUGUGUUAUAAUUGAGUUUGUUGAAUUAUAUUAGGAGUCUAUUAUGUUAAUUGAUUAGAUUGCUAUGGUUUUGUGGUAAUGAAAUAUAAAACUUGUGUUAUAAUUGAGUUUGUUCAGUUAUAUUAGGAGUGUACUAUGUUAAUUGAUUCACUUUCCACUUUAAAACAGUGUAAUCUCCUAUUUCACGCCGUGAAUACAGUCGAAUACAAUAAUUUGUCCAGCUGUAAUCACAUAUUUCACUCCAUGAAUACAGUCGAAUACACGCGAAUACAAUAACUGAUUAGCUGGACUUCCCUGAUUUACACCUAUUUUUACUAUUGUAUUCAUGAAUAAAAUAGAUUAAAUACAUCAAAUACAUCGUAUAACCACAAUUGUAUCUAUAAUCCGUAAUAUAUUUGAUUCAUGAAAAUUUUUUAACUAAGUAAUGGCAUUUGCAUGUAUCUGAAGAGUCAAGUCUCAACAGACAGGCAUAUUUCCUACUAAUAAAAUAUAUUUCGUGAAAAUUUCCUCCGGAUUUUAAUUGUUUACCAAUUUGUUUGAUGUAUUUUUAAAGCAAUUGAUAUAUUAAGUUCAAUCCUACAUAAAACUUAUGACGGACUAGGUAAAGAGAUCGAAGUAAUGCUAAUAAUAGAAAAUUUAAUUAUAAUUAUUUUUAUAUGACCUGAUUAUCAAAUACUAGUAUUGUUUUACUAUCAAGCAUAAAAUUUAAAUUCUUACCUUAUUGCCCCAGUAGUAAU